UACGUAGGGUGCAAGCGUUAAUCGGAAUUACUGGGCGUAAAGCGUGCGCAGGCGGUUAUAUAAGACAGUUGUGAAAUCCCCGGGCUCAACCUGGGAACUGCAUCUGUGACUGUAUAGCUAGAGUACGGUAGAGGGGGAUGGAAUUCCGCGUGUAGCAGUGAAAUGCGUAGAUAUGCGGAGGAACACCGAUGGCGAAGGCAAUCCCCUGGACCUGUACUGACGCUCAUGCACGA
rnacentral:rRNA from 1 species